GAGUGGAUUAAUGCAAUAUUGUGGUGGGGUGUUUAAAAGUUAUUAUUUUUAAAAUAAAAGUUGUGAUUUUUAAAAAGUGGUUAAAAGUUUGAAAAUACAAUAUUAGGUAUGCUUUGAGGGGGUUAUUUUAUUGAUCUGUUGUAUAUUUUGUAGGGAAUUACUGUUAAAGUGUUUGAAAGGUAAUGAGUUUGAUUGAGUGUUAUGUAUGUUGGUCACCAUGGGUGAAAAUGGGUAAAAGUGGGAGGGGGUGUUUUGAUUUAAUUUGCUUGGUCACUGUAUUUAAUUGGGUAUUAUGCUAUUUUUUUGGUGUAUUUUGGUUCUGACAUGAAAUCAAAUGGGAAGUAUGAGCUGUAUUAAACUAUAUGCACAAUGCAAAUGUAUUUAAUAAAUACCAAAUCAUUGAAUAUUAUAAAUGUUACAAUAAAAAUUAUAAACACAUUUUUACCAUCUAAUUCAGUUUAACAUUAAUAUUGUUUUUACAUAUAAAGACACCAAAGAGAACAAAACAAGAAUAUCCGUUGUUUAUAACUUUGUAUAAACAACAUAAGAAACAUAUAAAGUUCAAGUUUGUUUUUUUCAAUAAAUUUGAUUUUAAAAAUGUAAGAAAAUAAAAAAGAAGAAUAAGGUAACCAAAACCUGAAAGAAAUUGAGUUGCCAACUAAUAUGCUGGGUGUUUGGGCCUAUUUACUUUUUAUACAAAUGGUUUUCAUGUGCUUAUAUAUGAUACUUGUGAGACAAAAAUUCCCAUUUUUUUGGGCGGGAUUUUAUAUUUUAAGUUAAUUUAUUGGGAUAAGCAUGUGUUUAAAUGACUGUAAGUUUACAAUUUAUUAGCCUUGUUUUUAUCCGAAAUACAUAUGAAUGUGAUUUUCUUUUAGUUUAAAUUAUGUUAAGGCCAAGCAUGCAUGAAUGAUCACCAUGUUUGUCCAUGCAAUGUAAAUGCAACAAAAUAAUAUAAAAUUUAUGCCUAGGUGCAAAAACUAUAUGGUCAACAUGCAAUACAAUGUAUUUAGUCAAGCUGAGGACAUUGAAAUAAAAAAGGAUAUUUUUAAAGAUAACAUACUAAAAAAUAAUUAUGUAUGUGCCAAACAAAUGUGAUAAUAGUGAAUGCAGAAGUUUAUGAACAUGAUGGUUCUAGGUUCUAACGAUAGGUAAAGUAUUUUAAAUUGGAAUAUUGUGAGGAAAAAUAAUUCACUUUUUAUACAUGUGCGAUAUGUGCCGAAAAACUAUUUAAUUAAAGUGGAAAAGAUUAUGAAGUGGAGGGUUCUAGGUUCAAAACCCAAGGUGAGGUGUGACAAAUUUCUAAAACAAGAUCUUUUACAGAUUGGGUGCGAAAAUAAUUUAAACUGUUUUUUCUGCAUAUGCUGAAAAACCAAAUGAAAACAUCAACAAGAAGGCUCAAGGUUCAAACCCAAGAGCCCCUGAAACUCACACCACCAUUUAAACAUACCAGCAUAUUACUACCACAAGGUUGGCAACCUGAUGGGAUGGCUACCGGACAUGUCUUUACAACUGCUGGCUGAACCUGUAAGUUUGUUAGAAUACACAGCAGCGUUAUGUCAUGCUGAGCGGCAAAAACAACUUAAAAAAGCGACAAA